rnacentral:rRNA from 1 species
CGCGUGCUACACAUGCAGUCGAACGAUGAACCACUUCGGUGGGGAUUAGUGGCGAACGGGUGAGUAACACGUGGGCAAUCUGCCCUGCACUCUGGGACAAGCCCUGGAAACGGGGUCUAAUACCGGAUACUGACCAUUACGGGCAUCCGUGGUGGUCGAAAGCUCCGGCGGUGCAGGAUGAGCCCGCGGCCUAUCAGCUUGUUGGUGAGGUAACGGCUCACCAAGGCGACGACGGGUAGCCGGCCUGAGAGGGCGACCGGCCACACUGGGACUGAGACACGGCCCAGACUCCUACGGGAGGCAGCAGUGGGGAAUAUUGCACAAUGGGCGAAAGCCUGAUGCAGCGACGCCGCGUGAGGGAUGACGGCCUUCGGGUUGUAAACCUCUUUCAGCAGGGAAGAAGCGAAAGUGACGGUACCUGCAGAAGAAGCGCCGGCUAACUACGUGCCAGCAGCCGCGGUAAUACGUAGGGCGCGAGCGUUGUCCGGAAUUAUUGGGCGUAAAGAGCUCGUAGGCGGCUUGUCACGUCGGUUGUGAAAGCCCGGGGCUUAACCCCGGGUCUGCAGUCGAUACGGGCAGGCUAGAGUUCGGUAGGGGAGAUCGGAAUUCCUGGUGUAGCGGUGAAAUGCGCAGAUAUCAGGAGGAACACCGGUGGCGAAGGCGGAUCUCUGGGCCGAUACUGACGCUGAGGAGCGAAAGCGUGGGGAGCGAACAGGAUUAGAUACCCUGGUAGUCCACGCCGUAAACGGUGGGCACUAGGUGUGGGCGACAUUCCACGUCGUCCGUGCCGCAGCUAAC